rnacentral:rRNA from 1 species
GAUGAACGCUGGCGGCGUGCCUAACACAUGCAAGUCGAGCGCGGUCCCUUUGGUGCUUGCACCAAAGACGACUGAGCGGGCGCGGGUGAGGUACGCUGGUAACUGCCUGUACAUAUGGAUAACAUGCUGAAAAGCAUACUAAUACAUAAUAACGUAUAUUGAAGGCAUCUUCGAUGUAUCAAAGCGUUAGCGGUACAGGAUGGACCCGCGUCUGAUUAGCUAGUUGGUGGGGUAAAAGCCUACCAAGGCGACGAUCAGUAGCCGACCUGAGAGGGUGAUCGGCCACAUUGGAACUGAGACACGGUUCCAA